GGCAUUAAAGGCGAAGAUUUGUACUUUCUUCCUGUUUGGCGAACUUUCCAGGGAUCUGCAAGUGCUGCUGGCACAAGCCCCUCUGUCAGUAGCCCCUUGCCCGGUUCAUGAAUUGUAUGACAGCACAUAGAACGCAGAUGGGCAUGAUGCACCGCAAGAAGGGACGGGCAUGAUGCACCACAAGAAGAGAUGGGCAUGAUGCACCGCAAGAAGAGAUGGGCAUGAUGCACCGCAAGAAGAGAUGGGCAUGAUGCACCGCAAGAAGGGACAUUUUCCAUAUUUAAGGAUUGUUCUCCAUUCUCAUCUGCUGGUGCUACAAUGCCCACAUUUCUGUCAUGGUUGAGUUCCAUCUUCCAGCCUCUUCCCAAAGGCUCGUGGGAGAGCAGGAGAAAGUGGCACCGACGCCUGGCCUCGGCAGUCUCUACCCAGAAUCCUCCCUACCCUCUCUUACGGUAUAUGUAUGGCUAUGAGUUAGCAAACCAGAGUUGAACUGUGUUGCCCAAAGACUAUGUUCACUUCAAUGGCCUGAAAGUAUAUGUUUAAUGAAACAGUAUUAAUCACAUAAAAUACCAAGAGUUUGUGGCGAGAAA